UUUGUUUGGGAAGAAACCGCCGAUCGUGAUCGGGGCUGACGGUACCAUACGAAUAAGCAUCGGCUUACUCCGUGCCAGCAGCCGCGGUAAUACGGAGGAUGCAAGCGUUAUCCGGAUUCAUUGGGUUUAAAGGGUGCGCAGNCGGAAUAUAAAGUCAGUGGUGAAAUCCUGCAGCUUAACUGUAGAACUGCCAUUGAUACUGAUAUUCUUGAAUAUAGUUGAGGUAGNCGGAAUGUGUAAUGUAGCGGUGAAAUGCUUAGAUAUUACACAGAACACCAAUUGCGAAGGCAGCUCACUAAACUAAUAUUGACGCUGAGGCACGAAAGCGUGGGUAGCAAACAGGAUUAGAUACCCUGGUAGUCCACGCUGUAAACUAUGAUCACUCGCUGUUGGCAAUACAUCGUCAGCGGCUGAGCGAAAGCAUUAAGUGAUCCACCUGGGGAGUACGGUCGCAAGAUUGAAACUCAAAGGAAUUGACGGGGGCCCGCACAAGCGGAGGAACAUGUGGUUUAAUUCGAUGAUACGCGAGGAACCUUACCUGGGCUUAAAUGCAGAGCGACGUCCGCCGAAAGGUGGAUUCCUUCGGGCGAUCUGCAAGGUGCUGCAUGGUUGUCGUCAGCUCGUGCCGUGAGGUGUCGGGUUAAGUCCCAUAACGAGCGCAACCCUUAUCGUUAGUUGCCAGCGGGUAAUGCCGGGGACUCUAACGAAACUGCCGGUGUAAACCGUGAGGAAGGUGGGGAUGACGUCAAAUCAGCACGGCCCUUAUGUCCAGGGCUACACACGUGUUACAAUGGUCGGUACAGAGGGCAGCUACCACGCGAGUGGAUGCUAAUCUCGAAAACCGGUCUCAGUUCGGAUUGAAGUCUGCAACUCGACUUCAUGAAGCUGGAUUCGCUAGUAAUCGCGCAUCAGCCAUGGCGCGGUGAAUACGUUCCCGGGCCUUGUACACACCGCCCGUCAAGCCAUGGAAGCUUGGGGUACCUGAAGUCCGUAACCGCAAGGAGCGGCCUAGGGUAAGACAACUGACUGGGGCUAAGUCGUA
rnacentral:rRNA from 1 species